CAACGUCUCAUCAUUAAAUCUGUUAAAUAUUCGACCGAAUAUCAGUUUCCUUCCCGAAGUGAUGUAUGUAUACUUGCUGAGAUAUUGAAGUGGCGUUAAUCCUGCAACAAUCAUAUCACCACGACACGUGAAUAUAUUCAUACAGUAUAGCGUUAGAUUCACUUCUUCCAACGUAUCGAAAAUAUAUUAAUGAACUCUACGUAAGACAUACCAAGAAGACUUUGACUGUCGAGUAAUUCAAAUCGUACUGCUUGACGGGAAAAUAGUCUGGGAGCGUUUUGCAUCAAUAGACUGGCGCUCGUUUGACGAGAUCCGCGCAGAGUUGACGAUAGGUGAAUGAGGUGACGGAGGUGGCGGCGCGGGUACUGCUGACAAAUGUUGCGAUCUCGAGACCGGCUUACAGACAAAUAUCUCGCUUUUUCGAGGCAUCGGCGGUAACUCGAGCGUAAGAGCAUGCCAG